CCUACGGGUGGCAGCAGUGGGGAAUAUUGGACAAUGGGCGAAAGCCUGAUCCAGCCAUGCCGCGUGUGUGAAGAAGGCCUUCGGGUUGUAAAGCACUUUCAGUGGGGAAGAAAGCCUUGGGGCUAAUACCCUCGAGGAAGGACAUCACCCACAGAAGAAGCACCGGCUAACUCCGUGCCAGCAGCCGCGGUAAUACGGAGGGUGCGAGCGUUAAUCGGAAUUACUGGGCGUAAAGCGCGCGUAGGCGGUCUGAUAAGCCGGUUGUGAAAGCCCCGGGCUCAACCUGGGAACGGCAUCCGGAACUGUCAGGCUAGAGUGCAGGAGAGGAAGGUAGAAUUCGCGGUGUAGCGGUGAAAUGCGUAGAGAUCGGGAGGAAUACCAGUGGCGAAGGCGGCCUUCUGGACUGACACUGACGCUGAGGUGCGAAAGCGUGGGUAGCAAACAGGAUUAGAUACCCCAGUAGUC
rnacentral:rRNA from 1 species